UAGUAUUAAGACUUGCAUAUGUUGUUUGUCCAGCAUUUGCUUCUUCCCGGAUAGGAUCGCGAAGUGGUGUGGCGAGAUACGACAAGUUCUCCGGAUGUCCCUCGGCAAGCUUUAACAGGCAAGCAUUUCCCCUAUACUUCUGCCUCUGCAGAAGUCGCUCACCUAUUUUAUUUUGCCUUCUCCCUCAUGCUAUCCUUAAGUUGCGUUCUUGUCACGUGUCCCUUCCACUUGUUACCUCAAGCAGCCUAUAUUGACUCCACCAACCACCUACAGCUAAUGUUUGGUUAUCGGGUCUGCCUUGCGAGUCGUAGUGCAUGCUAGUGCUGUUUUAUCUCGUUACCGUUGUUGUAUCUUAUCGGGAUAUGUUGGGUUGUUGGGAGGUUGUCACAUGCUAUAUUAGUUGUUGGAGAUAAUCACACUUUACUUUAUUGUUAACAACUAAAAUUGUAAGCAGAGGCAUCUGUGAGCCCCUUUGUGAAAGCAUCGGAACUUUGACUUGCUAAUGUCCCCUAGGACCCGAGUUCUUGUUAUCUGUUCCGAGAUUGAGCGCUCUACCUGUACGUGGGGGAGUGGGACCCCCAUCACCCACUACCUUUCCUCGAGUCUGUUUAUUGGGAGCCACAACCUUGGUUUUAUUUGCCUAUGCCAUGCUUUACUUACUGUUGCCUUCGGGUGUUUACUUCCUGUUGCCUUCGGGUGUUUAUUUUUUGUAUUGUACCUUGCGGGACGUUUAGCGAAGCGUGUGGUUCGCACGCCUAGCCGCCGGCGCAAACCUCUGGGUCCGUAUCGGAGUACGGCCGGACUUCGUCACGGGUAGCUUAGUUGGGUGGCUCCCAUUUAAACUUUCUCUUGCAUUGGGAACGGUCUUGAUGUGAGACUCCACCUGUAGUAAGUGGGUUCGAGCAUGCGUAUGGUUACAUUUGGGCAACCCCUGCAGGGUGUACAUCUUAUCGAUAAGUCGUGUCCGCGGUUAUGGACGACUUGGAAUUGUAUAGCUUGAUCAUAGAACAACUUACACCGUUAUCUUGUUGCUAAUAAUCUGAUAAUAACUUGCGUAGUAAUAUAGCCUUACUACAACCGUUACCCAAUAAAACUUGUCCACCGUUGAGUGCCUUUUACAUUGCCUCUUCGCAAUUGUUGGAGGGGAUAUGUGUAAUCGGCUGGGUUAUGUUUGUGUAGUAUUUUAUCUGUUACCUUAUGCGCUCUCUCACCUUCUCUGAUUAGACGAAUGUUGUAGAGUGUCUCUAUAGGUUUUUAGUGCUUGCGCUGCCGCUUAACUCCACCAUAUUGCCUAUGACGUUCCUCUUGCGUCCUCUAAGUCCCCUGCGUGCCUCAAGUACAAAGGACGACUGGUUGACGAAUGCUUAUACGUCUUGAAGUCUUGUUAAGUACGAACCCGUACUUAUUGCUGCUUCUACGGGAUAUAACCGGGCAGGUAUGAAGAUAUGUUCGAUGAAGACGACGUUAGCAAGGUUACCCUUCCGGCUUGGCCUGGGCAGGGUUAUGGACGCCACUGGUUAUCUUCAGGACUCUUAGUCCAAUUUGUAUCUUGACCGUACUCGGACGCAUUCGAUCUUCUGUAUGAGUUGGAUCUUUGUAUUGUAUAUUUGUAUCUUGACUCGUUGGAGUCGUUGUUGUAAUAUAUGUAUCUUGUGGGCUCUAUUGUAAUCC